CCUGCACUUCAGCUGUCUGCCAAGGCCCAGCAUCACUCUUGGUCGGUCCAGGGGGUGAAGGGACAUCUGGAGAGACUGGCAGAUGACAACAACGCCACAGAGAGGGUGAAUGUGUGGGCAGUGCUGGUGAAGGCUGCCAGGGGACAUGAGGUGUGGGACGUAUGCAGAGCUGCUUGCCGCUUCUGUCUGCUCUACGACGACGGCAGAUGGACUGAGAAGGGUCAGAGUCCAGAGCAAGGUUCUCUCCAGAUCAACGCCUCCUCCAGGGACGUGCUUCUUCUCCUGGCCGAAAUCUGCUUCAUCAAUGCUGAGGCCACUGUCCAGAAGCUGCAAUCGGAGGGGGUGGAGCUUAACAGUCCCGCUGUCCUGCCUCAGGACAGAGGAGGCCCUGCCUCUGAGGACCACUGGGGGGUC